rnacentral:sRNA from 1 species
UAAUUGAGUGAUCAACACCGUCCGGAAC